UACGAAGGGGGCUAGCGUUGUUCGGCAUCACUGGGCGUAAAGGGCGCGUAGGCGGCUUUGUAAGUCGGGGGUGAAAGCCUGUGGCUCAACCACAGAAUUGCCUUCGAUACUGUAGAGCUUGAGUUCGGGAGAGGUGAGUGGAACUGCGAGUGUAGAGGUGAAAUUCGUAGAUAUUCGCAAGAACACCAGUGGCGAAGGCGGCUCACUGGCCCGAUACUGACGCUGAGGCACGAAAGUGUGGGGAUCAAACAGG
rnacentral:rRNA from 1 species